rnacentral:rRNA from 1 species
AUGCAGAAUGGCACAUACUUCAUGUCUGAGUUAUGGACAAAUGACGAAGUUGUAAGGGAGAGUUUGGGUAUUCACGAGGGAACAGUUCCAUCAUGGCAACGAUGUGAUUUCAACCUACCUUACACAAAGGAAAUCACUAGUACGGUAGAUGAUCAUUUAGCCUUGAUUACUAAAGGGUACCGGGCGAUGAUAUACAGUGGAGACCAUGACUGUUCAUUAUCCUAUGUUUACACCCAAGCAUGGAUUAGACGACUAAACCUGCCCAUCACAGAUCGUUGGCGACCAUGGCAUGUGGACAACCAAAUUGUUGGAUACACAAGAAGUUUCUCCAACAAUCUAACAUAUGCAACAAUAAAGGGUGCCGGACACACAGCCCCGGAGUACAUGCCGAGGGAGUGCCUUGCUAUGAUGGAUAGGUGCCUCUCUGACUGA